GCAGGUGUAGCUCAGUGGUAGAGCGCGUGCUUAGCAUGCACGAGGUCCUGGGUUCAACCCCCAGUCCCUCCA
rnacentral:tRNA from 1 species